rnacentral:rRNA from 1 species
AUGGCAGAUGCCAUUGUUGGUCCGCUGCUGAGCAAGCUGCAGGCGGUAGCAGUGACAGAGGGGAAGGCCCUAGCUGCCGUGGGCAAUGAGAUUGAUCGCCUCCGCGACAAGCUCAUGUGGCUGCAUGCGCUAGUGCACGAGACUGACCUCCGCAGCAGGUCAGACAGCAACCAGCAAAUCCGUGUGCUCGCAUACCAGGUGCGCGAGGUCGCCUUUGUAGCCGAGGACGCCAUCGACAAUUUCUUCCUGCAGGCCGACCUCUCCCGCUUC